rnacentral:rRNA from 1 species
UACGAGGGGGGCAAGCGUUGUUCGGAAUUAUUGGGCGUAAAGAGCUCGUAGGCGGUUUGUCGCGUCUGCUGUGAAAACCCGAGGCUCAACCUCGGGCCUGCAGUGGGUACGGGCAGACUAGAGUGCGGUAGGGGAGAUUGGAAUUCCUGGUGUAGCGGUGGAAUGCGCAGAUAUCAGGAGGAACACCGAUGGCGAAGGCAGAUCUCUGGGCCGUAACUGACGCUGAGGAGCGAAAGCAUGGGGAGCGAACAGG